rnacentral:lncRNA from 1 species
CUACUGUAGGGCAUCGUAGUAGGAGCAGGAGUUCCCAUCUCCCAGUAAAGCUGCAAUGAAUCGGCUUCUAGGAGUUGUGGCUACUAACGGCCUGUUUGGAUACACGCUCGUAAAUUUUAGGAUACUCGUAAAAUUUAGGAGCUACAAAUUGGUAGUCAUAAAAUUUAUGAGUGGGCUGUUUGGAUGGAAUCAUAAUCUUUAGGAUGUUAGAGGGGAAAUAACUUUUGUACCCCU